UAACCCUGCUAAUCAACUGGUCAAUGUCAACAACACAAACCAAAAUAAACAAACGCGAUAUAAUCUGCGAAGGAGAAAAUAAAAAUCUCAAAAAUUUUUGUUCAAUAACUGCGUGAUAUCGACUCCCUGAAGAUGGUCGUUUGACCGAAUGCAUGGAAAAUAAAUAA